GUCUAUGGCCCUGGCACGCUGAACGCACCCCAUCCCACCUGAUGUCGGAAGCUAAGCAGGGUCGGGCCUGGUUGAUAUCAAUACUUGGAUGGGAGGACAGUUAUCAGAUGCAACGAUAGAUG
rnacentral:rRNA from 1 species